CUAACGAGCUCGCCAUCAUCACGAUGAGCCAAACGACGAAGGUGAAGAAGGCGAAGGCCUGGAUUGAGGGAUUUAACCCUACGAUCCAAUAGACUGGAGCGGCGAAGAGAAUCGCGACGGCGAGCAAAAAUGGGAGGAAAAUGGGGAGUGAUUCUACUGUGGAGGAGAGAAGGAAACUGAGACUGAAAGCAAAGAGGCCCAAUCUUUCUGUAACUCCUUCUUCGUCUCUUUUCACUCUCAGGGACAUCAUCAAACCUUUGCACAACAAUUGAUGGUGGAAGAUUCAAUUGACUACAUGAGCCCAGAUCGACAAAAAGUCCGACAAAUUCUUAGGCCAGAACUUGCUAUAGUAGUUCAUGGAAGGAACCUAAACAAAACAUGCUUUCAAAGACAAAACAGGUCGGCGUGCUAAAAGUACCUUGAAAAGAAAAGCCGUUAAUAAAGCAGCAACAAAUAAGCAUCAAAAAUAUCUACUAGGUUUAGUCUGAAGUGAUUUUUAUGUUUAAAACUCUUGUGUAGAAAUAAGCUUUGUUCGUUUCUAUACAUACACUUCUUUGAGUCAAUCUUCUUUCCUAGCUAAUGUAUCCUACGAAAGUCUAGCAGUUCUUAAUAAAAUUUAAGAUAGUGAUCAUAAAUA